UACGAAGGGGGCAAGCGUUGUUCGGAAUUACUGGGCGUAAAGGGCGCGCAGGCGGCCUGACAAGUCGGGUGUGAAAGCCCCGGGCUCAACCUGGGAAUUGCAUUCGAGACUGAAUAGCUAGGGUACGGUAGAGGGAAGUGGAAUUUCCGGUGUAGCGGUGAAAUGCGUAGAUAUCGGAAGGAACAUCAGUGGCGAAAGCGACUUCCUGGACCAGUACCGACGUUCAGGCACGAAAGCGUGGGGAGCAAACAGG
rnacentral:rRNA from 1 species